CAAGAGCAGCAGGUCUGCAUUUCCCUUUUUGCUGCAGGCUGGACACAGUUCCCCAUAGGUACCCCAAGAACAGUGCUCUGCUCCUGCAGGAGACAAAAUGAAACUUGGAUACAGGAGCUACUUUUGAAGACUGGGAAGAGCACCGUUUGGUGCUGUGCAUUCUUGCUGGGCAGCUCCUGUGUGCUCCAGGGCAGAUCCUGCCCAACCAGUAAGUCUGCACAUCUCUGAUUUUCAGAGGUGCAGAGGCUUGAACUUGCUGUUUGGUGUUCCUGCAGCUCUUUGUGGGGCUUUUUGGCUUGGUAUUAAAAGCUAGCCUUGCAGGCAGGACUGUGCCAGGCAGUUGUUGAAGCCCUGCGCCUGCCAAGCUCAGGAGGGUGAUUUUGGCAGCAGCCCGCAGGAACUGCCCUGCGCUAAGGCUGCCGUGUUCGAGCCGCGCCGAGAGCACUUCGAGAACCGCAGCCCUCGGUGCUUCAGCUCCGGCUGCUCUGCUCCCCCCUUCCCUGGCAGCUCAGCUCGCCGCUUUACGCUCCUGAUCCCCGCAGCCGGCUGGAAUAGCAUGUAAAUGAUGUUUCAUCGCAUUAAUGAAAUAAAUGCAGUGCGGGGCCGCACUGCAGUCUCCUGGCAGGAAACACAGGCUGACCCUGCGGCGCGCUGGGAAGUGGGAUGCGGAUCAGCCCUCUCCGCCAGCGGCGGUGCUCGCCCUUUAAGAAAAAGCCUGCAGUAAUUUUCCAUUACCCUGCACGGUCUUGUCGACGUGGCAGGAAUUGUUUGUGGAGGCUGGAGCAUCGCGGGUGAGGCGAAAGCCCCAAUCCGGCUGCGGUUGCCUGGCUACGCGCUCGGCAUGCCGGCCGCACGCCAGGCUCCUGGGAAGUACCUUUGUUCCCGAGAAGGGAUUUGAGUUGUGUUUUCACGCCGAAAGCUGGGGACAAAUGCUGCUUUUCUCAAGCAGCCUGGCAGAACUGGGCUUUCCAAACAACACGAGCCAGCCAAAAUUCUCAGUAGUAAUAACAGCAAUAUGUGUGGAGUCCAUCUCUGGUGGUGGUUUCUCUUCCUUUGCACAAGGAAAUAUCUUUUAAUGACUUUGUGAUGUUUGUUUGCUGUUGCUCUGAUCAUAACAGUCACUUAAUCAAGCCAGAAAUACUGUCAGCAAAAUCCUCCCCCGCUCUUGUUCUUUCCAUCUAAUAAACCAGAUGGAUCGCUGUUGUUCUGCAACUUGAUAAGCAGGUUAAUUUUUUUUAUGUAAGCUCUGGAGUCCUGACAGGAGAGUAGUCUGAAAUGCCUAAAAUAUUUCAAAUGCUGCCAGCAGAAUCUGCAGCAGCAGGAGGAGUGGGUCUGCAUGGUGUCCCUGCUUGCUGGGGCUUAGCUUUAAGUAUGGCAGCAGCAUCAGUGCAACAGGCGUUUCCAUGAUGUCUCGAGCACGGCUUCAGCUCCAGGAUAGCUUAUUUUAUCUGUUUGAGGCUUGAUACUUGUCAUUAAUAAAAGUUCUGUGUUCUGCUA